rnacentral:rRNA from 1 species
AAUUCCCCCAACGAGGCCAACCCUUUCCCCUAGUUGCCUUCAUUUAGUUGGGCACUUUAGGGGGAAUGCCGGUGGUAAACCGGGAGGAAGGUGGGGAUGACGUCAAGUCCUCAUGGCCCUUACGGGCUGGGCUACACACGUGCUACAAUGGCGGUGACAAUGGGCUGCAACCGCGCGAGGGGGAGCUAAUCCCAAAAAGCCGUCUCAGUUCGGAUUGCACUCUGCAACUCGAGUGCAUGAAG